UUGUAUACAAACAAGGGGAAUUUCUCCCCUGCACCUAGGGAAAGUCACGCUGCCACCGAACCCGGAACAUCUGCUGCGCGAACGGAACCACGCCUACCAGGAUUCCAGAGCCACCGGCAAGCCAACCAGACCGCCAGCCGUUGCCUGUUGGGAGGCGCUCAACCGAAGCGCGAGAAAUGGUGGGAAAUUCGAGUCGUCCAUCCUGAUCCCGAGCAACGUGGUCGGAAGCGCGGCGCAACGGGCGAACGAGCUGGGCAACCAGGCGCGCUGUUCUAUCGUGCUAGCUACACUGACGAUGCUGGGGUUCUGCAUGUGAAGCUGUACGACGAAACCGGUUCCAGGUUGAGCGCGCACUCAAAUUGGAGCUUGGCAGUCUUCCACCCCUUUUGUCGUCUGCACACUAACCCAACCGUAAUCUUACAAAUGGAGACUGUGGCAACGUUCAUGGAAGUCGACUGAACUCAGUCGUCUCGGCGCACUCAAAUCAAGUUUCAAGGAAGUUUCCAGGAAGCAUUUGUUUGAUCCUGAAGAAGCAAAAACCAGGAGUUGUUGCAAGUUGUCUUGUUCGGCGAUAUAUAUUCUGAACAUUGCUGAUCACGCAGGUCACGAUGCAAUAAAGCAGCCAAAGGCAGUACUAACUGCCCGUUUUCUA